rnacentral:sRNA from 1 species
GUAGUUAGAAAAAAAAGAUUAGUGUGU